rnacentral:lncRNA from 1 species
AUUUGCUCUUUCUUGCACGUAAUUGUUUGACUUCACGCAUUCCGAAGAAUAGUGGCCAAAUUUAUGACAAUUAUAGCAUUUAGUUUGAGAGUUGUCAUACCUUGGCCUUCUACUUGUGUAACCUUUCCCGCGACCUCUUGUCGAGUGAAAAUCUUGGCUUCUUUCUUCAUUUUUGUAAGAACUAUAGCCUCCACGUUUGAUAUAUCCUCGCCCUCGCCCUCGGCCACGUACUUGAC